rnacentral:sRNA from 1 species
UUAUUGUAAGGAGCGUUAAGGAUGGAAAUGGCAUCCUUUUAUUUGGUAGCUGAGCGAAAUCGAAGCUACCAAAUAAAAAGAUAUAAUGGACAGCCUGGUCAUUU